rnacentral:rRNA from 1 species
UUUAAUUGAAGAGUUUGAUCAUGGCUCAGAUUGAACGCUGGCGGCAGGCCUAACACAUGCAAGUCGAGCGGUAACAGAGAGUAGCUUGCUACUCUGCUGACGAGCGGCGGACGGGUGAGUAAUGCUUGGGAAUAUGCCUUAUGGUGGGGGACAACAGUUGGAAACGACUGCUAAUACCGCAUGAUGUCUACGGACCAAAGUGGGGGACCUUCGGGCCUCACGCCAUAAGAUUAG